UACGUAGGUGGCAAGCGUUGUCUGGAUUUACUGGGCGUAAAGGGCGUGCAGGCGGUCUGUUAAGUGCAGGGUGAAAGCUCCCGGCUCAACUGGGAGAGGUCCUUGCAUACUGGCGGACUUGAGGGGGGUAGAGGAAAGUGGAAUUCCCGGUGUAGUGGUGAUAUGCGUAGAUAUCGGGAGGAACACCUGUGGCGAAGGCGGCUUUCUGGGCCCUACCUGACGCUGAGACGCGAAAGCGUGGGGAGCGAACCGG
rnacentral:rRNA from 1 species